GUUCUCCUGCUCGGCAGCACAUAUACUAAAAUUGGAAUGAUACAGAGAAGAUUAGCACGGACCCUGUGCAAGGAUGACGUAAUUUUAAAUUAAAAAAAACAAAAAAAU
ensembl:snRNA U6 U6 spliceosomal RNA